rnacentral:rRNA from 1 species
CAGCCGCCGCGGGAAUACAGAGGGUGCAAGCGUUAAUCGGAAUUACUGGGCGUAAAGCGCGCGUAGGUGGUUUGUUAAGUUGGAUGUGAAAUCCCCGGGCUCAACCUGGGAACUGCAUCCAAAACUGGCAAGCUAGAGUAUGGUAGAGGGUGGUGGAAUUUCCUGUGUAGCGGUGAAAUGCGUAGAUAUAGGAAGGAACACCAGUGGCGAAGGCGACCACCUGGACUGAUACUGACACUGAGGUGCGAAAGCGUGGGGAGCAAACAGGAUUAGAUACCCCAGUAGUCCCUGUCUCUUAUAC